AAACUUGUGGGUCGCGAGUGCAUGAUCAAAGUCUAAGUUGUUGCAUGAUAUGAUAUGGUACAACGGAGAUUGGUAUGAUCUUGUUCGAAGUGAAACUUGACGUCCGGAGUUUUAUUUUCAAAAAUCAUAAAAAAUAACAAAGUUCCUCAAUGAUGAUGAUAUGUCCUACCAAAGCCUUAUGAUGUUACAUUGCACAACCCGUACACAUAUGCUACUUGCUAUCACAUUGAACAUUGUCAAAUUGAUGUUACUGGAAGUUACGCAAAAACAUGACUUCCAUCCACAUAAAUAUAUUCCAUCC
rnacentral:lncRNA from 1 species